AAAACCUUAUUCUUACAGAUCAUUAAAUGCAAUGGAUCCUGGAAAGCUGGGAGAGAUAUUGAAGCACUUGGAGAUGCAGAACGAGCUCCUGACGAAAGCGUCUGAAUCAAUGAUACAAGAAUUGUCUAAGCUUCGGGCAGAAGAAGAAAUGAUGAUGCACAAAUAUUAUGCUAUUAUGUCGGAGCAUGGUUAAGUUAAAAAGGUUCAUGAACUUCAUGAAUUUUGUUCAUGAAUUUUGGCAGAAGCAUGGCAACGGAAAAGUUUCAACUGACUAUGCAACCGAAAACUCAGUCACACUGUUACAAGCCAUAUCUUAAUUGUGAGAAACUUAAUUUUGUACGAGACUAAUAUUGUGUGUGAGAGAGAGAGGCCACAUCUUCAGAUAUCCCUGACAUAUUCCAGGAUAGACCUACUCGAUUAUCAGAUUCUGUUGUCUGAAUAAUUGCUUGGUUUGAUACUGAAAUUUUUUAAAACGC